GCGUUGCUGAGGAGUCCCACAAUAGGACGAAACGACAGUCGAGUGC
rnacentral:hammerhead_ribozyme from 1 species